rnacentral:rRNA from 1 species
UGCAAGUCGAGCGAGAAGUUUAAUUCUGAUGCUUCGGUUGAAGAAUUAAACGGACAGCGGCGAAAGGGAGAGUAACAGGUAGAUACGUGCCCAAGGGUUCAGGAUAGCCAUGCGAAAGCGUGAGUAAUACUGAAUAAUGUCUCCGGACCAAAGAUUUAUUGCCCUUGGAGCGGUCUGCUUCCUAUUAGAUUGUUGGUGGGGUAAUGGCCUACCAAGUCAAAGAUGGGUAGCGGGUGUGAGAGCAUGGCCCGUCUCACUGGGACUGAGAUACUGCCCAGACACCUACGGGUGGCUGCAGUCGAGAAUCUUCCGCAAUGGGCGAAAGCCUGACGGAGCGACGCCGCGUGAUGGACGAAGGCCCUCGGGUUGUAAACAUCUGUCGUAGGGGAGGAAAUUUUGACCGAUCCUAGGAGGAAGCACAGGCUAAGUUCGUGCCAGCAGCCGCGGUAAUACGAACUGUGCAAACGUUAUUCGGAAUCACUGGGCUUAAAGGGUGCGUAGGCGGAUUUGUAGGUCAGAUGUGAAAGCCCACGGCUCAACCGUGGAAUUGCGUUUGAAACCAUGAGUCUUGAGGGGAUCAGAGGAGAGCGGAACUGAUGGUGGAGCGGUGAAGUGCGUUGAUAUCAUCAGGAACACCGGUGGCGAAAGCGGCUCUCUGGGAUCUUUCUGACGCUGAGGCACGAAAGCUAGGGGAGCGAACGGGAUUAGAUACCCCGGUAGUCCUAGCUGUAAACGAUCUGUACUAGUCCGUGGGGACUCCCACAUCUUCUCGGACGUAGCGAAAGUGUUAAGUACAGCGCCUGGGGAGUAUGGUCGCAAGGCUGAAACUCAAAGGAAUUGACGGGGGCUCACACAAGCGGUGGAGGAUGUGGCUUAUUUCGAGGCUACGCGAAGAACCUUACCUAGGCUUAACAUGUUUGAGAUCUCUGUGAAGCAGAGAGUGCCCUUCGGGGAGCUCUUACGUAGUGCUGCAUGGCUGUCGUCAGCUUCGUGUCGUGAGAUGUCGGGUUAAGUCCCUUUAACGAGC